UCUAGACUCCUACGGGAGGCAGCAGUGGGGGAUAUUGCACAAUGGGGGGAACCCUGAUGCAGCGACGCCGCGUGGGUGAAGGAGUAUUUCGGUAUGUAAAGCCCUAUCGGCAGGGAAGAAGCAAGACGGUACCUGACUAAGAAGCCCCGGCUAACUACGUGCCAGCAGCCGCGGUAAUACGCAGGGGGCGAGCGUUAUCCGGAUUCACUGGGUGUAAAGGGAGCGUAGACGGCCAAGCAAGCCAGGGGUGAAAGCCCGGGGCCCAACCCCGGGACUGCCCUUGGAACUGCUUGGCUGGAGUGCGGGAGGGGCAGGCGGAAUUCCUGGUGUAGCGGUGAAAUGCGUAGAUAUCAGGAGGAACACCGGCGGCGAAGGCGGCUUGCUGGACUGUAAAUGACGCUGAGGCUCGAAAGCGUGGGGAGCAAACAGGAUUAGAUACCCGAGUA
rnacentral:rRNA from 1 species